rnacentral:rRNA from 1 species
AACUUAGCUUGCUAAGGCUGAUGGCGACCGGCGCACGGGUGAGUAACACGUAUCCAACCUGCCGUCUACUCUUGGCCAGCCUUCUGAAAGGAAGAUUAAUCCAGGAUGGGAUCAUGAGUUCACAUGUCCGCAUGGUAGAACUAUUAAAGAAUUUCGGUCAUCGAUGGGGAUGCGUUCCAUUAGGUUGUUGGCGGGGUAACGGCCCACCAAGCCUUCGAUGGAUAGGGGUUCUGAGAGGAAGGUCCCCACAUUGGAACUGAGACACGGUCCAAACUCC